rnacentral:other from 1 species
GGCUCCCUGGUUUGCAGGCCAGUCACGACUGUCCCUGAGCCGAUAAUCGAAGAUUAGGAGGCUCCUCGUAAAUACUGGAGUGCAUGUCCACUUAAAAGUGGAAAGCCCAACGUAUUUCAGCAGCCACCACCUUGAACCAUGGGUUCAAGGGCUAUACUGACAGCGGCAAACUGGGGGUCAU